rnacentral:rRNA from 1 species
AACGAACGCUGGCGGCAGGCUUAACACAUGCAAGUCGAACGCAUCCUUCGGGGUGAGUGGCAGACGGGUGAGUAACGCGUGGGAACGUGCCCUUCAGUUCGGGAUAACCCAGGGAAACUUGGGCUAAUACCGGAUACGUGCGAGAGCAGAAAGAUUUAUCGCUGAAGGAUCGGCCCGCGUCUGAUUAGCUAGUUGGUGGGGUAAUGGCCCACCAAGGCGACGAUCAGUAGCUGGUCUGAGAGGAUGAUCAGCCACAUUGGGACUGAGACACGGCCCAAACUCCUACGGGAGGCAGCAGUGGGGAAUAUUGGACAAUGGGCGCAAGCCUGAUCCAGCCAUGCCGCGUGAGUGAUGAAGGCCUUAGGGUUGUAAAGCUCUUUCGUCCGGGACGAUAAUGACGGUACCGGAAGAAGAAGCCCCGGCUAACUUCGUGCCAGCAGCCGCCGCCG